rnacentral:rRNA from 1 species
GCGCAGCAGUCGAGAAACUUUAGCAAUGCCCGAAAGGGUGACUAUGCGACGCCGCGUGAGCGAUGAAGUCCUUCGGGACGUAAAGCUCUGUCUGGUGGGAUGAAUUUUUCGACCUUAACAGGGUUGGAGUUUGACCGUACCACCAGAGGAAGCCACGGCUAACUCCGUGCCAGCAGCCGCGGUAGUACGGAGGUGGCAAGCGCUGUUCGGAUUUAUGGGUGUAAAGGGCAUGUAGGUGUCCUAGUAAGUCCUGGCUGAAAUCCUUCGGCUCAACCGAGAACGUGUCAGGGAAACUGCUGGGGAUUGAGUACGGAAGAGGAGAACGGAAUUCCCGGUGU